GGCAACAGAUGGUCAUUGUGACGUGAAGGUUAUUCCAAUAUCCACAGAGGAGGAAAAAGGACCAGCGUGAUCCAAACUUACAGCAACUUCUCUGGGGUCUUGGCCACAGCUCUUCCCUUCCUCCAAGCCUUUGAGCAAAGCAGUCACCUGAGCCACUGUUUCAGCAGGUCCCUGUGGGUUGGGCUAAGCAGAGGUUGGCAGAUGAACAAAAAGUUCAGAGUCAGGCUAAAGAGCUGUAGACAAAGGACCCAUUCCCAGCGUUCCUUUCUGAGUGACACCACCGUGGAUGACAGCAGCUUGUCACUGUACCAACACCUGCAUUUGGGAGCAGUGGGAGGGACACUCAACAUCUCUGUUUCCUUCCUUGGGACACUGGAAAAUAACUACUCCUGUGGGUCACAUAGGAGCUGCCAUCUGCAAGGUUUUCUACACUUUCCUUGCCACCAUCCGGCAGAAGUUCUAAAGCUCCAGAUUUAAUUCAGCUUGAAUAUCUAUUAUUGUCCCUUUUUUUCUUU